rnacentral:misc_RNA from 1 species
AAAAUUUUCCCGCAUGCAUAAUUUAAAACUAAAUUCCAUGAUGGAAAAUAUACAUGGGAAGAGGGAACGGGAGACACAAACACAAAGCAGAACCACAGCCAUACAAUGAAUAUGAGGCUAUCCAUAAUCUCAUCCUUGCUUAUUUCAUUUUCUUCCUGUCAUCUCUCUAAAAUACCCACCACUUGCUUAAACUUACUUCCUCUACUCCACACUGCUGAUUGCUUGCUAUAAUUUUAGCUUCAGCAAAAAUAUUUCUGGUUUCUGUGUAUCCAUUAUGGCUUCGGCUACUCUCGCUGUAGCCAAACCAUCCCUUCAGGGAAAUGGAAAGGGAUUCCAAGAAUUCUCAGGCCUCCGCAACUCAGCAGCUUUCCUUCCCUUUGCCAAGAAAACUUCUGAUGACUUCCUCUCAGUCGUUGCUUUCAAGACUUCUACUGUGGGAAGCAGCAAUGGGGGAUACAGGAAAACUGCAGCUGAGGCAAAGCUAAAAGUGGCCAUAAAUGGAUUUGGUAGGAUUGGCAGGAACUUCUUGAGGUGCUGGCAUGGGCGCAAGGAUUCUCCUCUGGAUGUCAUCGCCAUCAACGACACUGGUGGUGUCAAGCAGGCCUCUCAUCUCCUCAAGUACGACUCUACCCUUGGUAUCUUCGAAGCUGAUGUUAAGCCUGCUGAGGAUGGCAUCUCUGUCGAUGGCAAGGUCAUCAAGGUUGUUUCCAACCGCAACCCCAUCAACCUUCCCUGGAAGGACUUGGGUAUCGACUUGGUAAUUGAAGGGACUGGAGUUUUCGUGGAUAGGGAAGGUGCUGGCAAGCACAUUCAGGCAGGUGCCAAGAAGGUGCUCAUCACAGCCCCUGGAAAGGGUGACAUCCCAACCUACGUCGUUGGAGUAAAUGCUGAUGCCUACAAUCCUGAUGAGCCUAUUAUAAGCAAUGCUUCUUGCACUACCAACUGCCUUGCUCCCUUUGUCAAGGUUCUUGAUCAGAAGUUUGGUAAUCAAUUCCUCUCUCCUUUAUCCCUUUUCUUAAAAAUUUCGAUGCCAGGGAUUGAAUUCAACCUCCUGUAUGCUGUAUUACCAUUGAAGCAACGAUUACUGAGUUAUUAGCCUGUCAAUCGAAAUAUUGAAAUGAACCACUGAAAAUUGAAUGACAACUUGUGGAUACCUGCAGGCAUCAUCAAGGGAACCAUGACUACCACUCACUCAUACACCGGUGACCAGCGGCUACUGGACGCCAGCCACCGCGACCUCAGAAGGGCAAGAGCUGCUGCCCUAAACAUUGUUCCAACUUCAACCGGUGCAGCAAAGGCAGUCGCCCUUGUCCUUCCAACUCUCAAGGGCAAACUUAACGGCAUAGCCCUGCGUGUACCGACACCAAAUGUAUCAGUUGUUGACCUGGUGGUGCAGGUAUCAAAGAAGACCUUUGCAGAAGAGGUAAAUGCUGCAUUCAGAGACAGUGCAGAGAAGGAGCUGAAGGAUAUCCUGUCAGUGUGUGAUGAGCCUCUUGUUUCAGUGGACUUCAGGUGCACAGAUGUUUCAUCAACUGUGGAUUCAUCCCUGACCAUGGUGAUGGGAGAUGAUAUGGUUAAGGUGAUUGCUUGGUAUGAUAAUGAAUGGGGUUACUCUCAAAGGGUUGUGGAUUUGGCUGACAUUGUUGCCAACAACUGGAAGUAGAAUAUUGUCUAUUCUCCAAAGUAAUUUUCUGAUUUUUGUAACCUCUUGAUGAUCUUCCUUUCUAGUUUCAUCCCAUUUCUAUUUUUGUCAAUAAUGUAAAAUUAUAUGGUGGAAUUGAACCAUUUUCCUCUUUCAGUUUGUGCAAUAAGCGUAAGGAAUUGCAUCAAUUAACCAAAUCAUAUGUUUAUCAUCAUCUGAGACGGUCCAAUUAUCAAUGGAAUUCUUGUAUCUCACAUUUAUUUGGAGGGAAUUCAAAUUAUA